rnacentral:RNase_MRP_RNA from 2 species
UUGCCGUGGGAUAGAGUGAUCGGGUCAAAGCUUCUACUAGAAGUUAAACUCAGGAAAGUCCUCGGGCCGUCACCCGUAGAAAUACGGAUUCGGUAACGAAUUCAGCCUUGUGAGCCCAUUGGGUGCUGAGACACGUGUGGAGCAUUAAAGCCCAAUGGGCCAAAGGUUAAUUGGCCAAAUUAACAGUUAUUCACUCAGCCCCUUUGGGGCUACAGAACGGGGCUUACUUCUCACGGCA